rnacentral:rRNA from 1 species
UACGUAGGCAGCGAGCGUUGUUCGGAGUUACUGGGCGUAAAGGGUGUGUAGGCGGUCGUUUAAGUUUGGUGUGAAAUCUCCCGGCUCAACUGGGAGGGUGCGCCGAAUACUGAAUGACUAGAGUGCGGGAGAGGGAAGUGGAAUUCCUGGUGUAGCGGUGAAAUGCGUAGAUAUUCGGAAGAACACCAGUGGCGAAGGCGACUUACUGGUCCAUGACUGACGCUGAGGCUCGAAAGCGUGGGGAGCAAACAGG